UACGGGGGGAGCAAGCGUUGUUCGGAUUUACUGGGCGUAAAGGGCGCGUAGGCGGCCACCGCAAGUCAGUUGUGAAAUCUCUGGGCUUAACCCAGAAAGGUCAACUGAUACUGCGGGGCUAGAGUGCAGAAGGGGCAACUGGAAUUCUCGGUGUAGCGGUGAAAUGCGUAGAUAUCGAGAGGAACACCUGCGGCGAAGGCGGGUUGCUGGGCUGACACUGACACUGAGGCACGAAAGCUAGGGGAGCAAACAGG
rnacentral:rRNA from 1 species